CAGCGCUGGGCCCACAGCAGAGGGAGGAGGAGCCCUGAUGACAGGGGUGUGCUCACAGGCUGCCAGCCCCGGGCUCCCACAGUGCGCUGCUCCGCUGCUUCCCGGGUCUCAGGGGAAACCUGCCCCGAGCCCCAGUCUGCUGGCAAACAGCUGCUCCACAGGACGCGUGGGCUGACCCAGCAAAGGCACCAUCUGGUAGAUGCACCUCUGAGACCCAGCCCCCAGCAGCAGAGGAUGUCCACGUGUCCAUUGGGCCAAGGCCCCACAGUCUCCUUCUCCAAAGUCCUGCUCCCUCUGCCUGCCAUGGAUUCAACAGCAACACAGACUUAGUAGGACCUACGACGGGGAGAGUUUGGGGUGUGCGCUGUCCGGUGGGCAUCAGAGUGUGAGCGGAUCUGUGUGUGAUUUGUAUAUAAGCACUGACGGAGGCCGAAGGAAAUACCUCAGUAAGCGAGGGCCCUGCACCUUGACAGAGAGCCCUGCACAAGGGUUUUACAACGUAUGCUUUUCCUUAACCGGUAUUUCCAGGUCUUCCGUGACCACCAACUUCUGUGGGGAGGAAAAGCUCUAACAGGUUUCUCAGAAAAGGACACGUGAAUCCCAGAGAUAAGACCUGAGUCUUGAUCCUGACCUGGCCCACAGCUUCCACACACUGGCAUUUCCUGAGACCCCAGACUUUGCUGUUUCUCACUUGUUCACUUCAGCUCACCUUGAGAGAACAGCUGAAGCUCUCGAGAGUGCCGAUGGCCGAGGUGACCCGAGGGGACCCUGAGUGCUGUGCAGGCCACCAGAUGGGCGAGCUGAGCACCCAUGUCCUGACCAGCUCUGAAGGCUGUCCUUCAGUGCCCUGGCUGGCUGUCACCGGCUCCCUUCACUGCAGAGUCUUGGGCUACCAGGUGAUGUUUCUAUUCAGUGUGAGGGUGAGAGACCUCACAGGCAGCGGGGCCUCCAUGACUUCAGCCCUAAAUUGUCCCUAUCCCCCAUGAAA